UACGUAGGGGGCAAGCGUUAUCCGGACUUACUGGGUGUAAAGGGAGCGUAGACGGCUAUGCAAGUCAGAAGUGAAAGCCCAAAGCUCAACUUCGGGACUGCUUUCGGAACUGUGUAACUAGAGUGCAGGAGGGGUAAGCGGAAUUCCUAGUGUAGCGGUGAAAUGCGUAGAUAUUAGGAGGAACACCGGCGGCGAAGGCGGCUUACUGGACUGUAACUGACGUUGAGGCUCGAAAGCGUGGGGAGCAAACAGG
rnacentral:rRNA from 1 species